UAGGAGGUCCAGCCUGCCCAGUGACAAUGUUCAACGGCCGCGGUAUCCUAACCGUGCGAAGGUAGCGUAAUCACUUGUCCUUUAAAUGAGGACUAGUAUGAACGGUUUCACGAAGGUUGCACUGUCUCCUUUUUCUAAUCAGUUAAACUAAUCUCCCCGUGAAGAAGCGGGGAUUUACCUAUAAGACGAGAAGACCCUAUGGAGCUUUAAACAAUUGAUAACAUUUGCAUCUAAAUUUUUUUCUUUAUUUAACCCAGCACAUUGUUUCUAGUUUUAGGUUGGGGUGACCAUGGAGAAAAACUCAUCCUCCAUGAUGAACGAAAUUUUAUUUCUUAGCAAAAAGCUACAUCUUAAUGCAUUAAUAAAUUAACCUUAAUUGACCCAAUAAUUUGAUCAACGAACCAAGUUACCCUAGGGAUAACAGCGCAAUCCACUUCAAGAGCUCUUAUCGACAAGUGGGUUUACGACCUCGAUGUUGGAUCAGGGUAUCCAAGUGGUGCAGUCGCUACUAAAGGUUCGUUUGUUCAACGAUUAAAAC
rnacentral:rRNA from 1 species